UACGUAGGGACCGAGCGUUGUCCGGAAUUACUGGGCGUAAAGAGCUCGUAGGUGGUUUGUCGCGUUGUUCGUGAAAACUCACAGCUUAACUGUGGGCGUGCGGGCGAUACGGGCAGACUGGAGUACUGCAGGGGAGACUGGAAUUCCUGGUGUAGCGGUGAAAUGCGCAGAUAUCAGGAGGAACACCGGUGGCGAAGGCGGGUCUCUGGGCCGUAACUGACGCUGAGGAGCGAAAGCAUGGGGAGCGAACAGG
rnacentral:rRNA from 1 species